UGGAAUUUUAUUAUUUUCAUUCCAAUCUCUUUGUGGCUGGUGGCGGAAUUGCAGCAGUGAUUCUUCAUAUAUAUAUACCUAUACAGUGCACUCUCUCAUUCCAGAAGGCAGAUCUGGAAUUUUAUUAUUUUCAUCCCAAUCUCUUUGUGGCUGGUGGCGGUCUAUUCCGGCGUCAAUUGCAGCAGUGUGUGUAUAUAUAUAUAUAUAUAUCAUCACUCUGCAAAAGAAAAUUUUCCAAAGAAUCAGACCCAACACUCCAACUAAACCCCAACGCAACCCCACUCAUCCACAAACCCACCUCACCCCAACCCCAUCUCAGUCUCUCUCAUCACCCUCCUCUUCGUCUCUCUCUCACCUCACCCCACAAGACCCCUAAACCUGGUUCCUCACUUUCCCCACCACUCUCCGCCACCACUACUCCACCGAUCGAACCAUCAAGGUCCAGACCACCCCAAAUCACCCCCCCAAUUGAAGUCUUCACCAUUCAAGAUGGUCGUGGCAGGGGCUAUGGUGAUAGGUUUUGGCGUGUAUGAGAGGAGAGAUCUGGUUGUGGCAGGGGCUGUGGUGGGAGGAGGCGGCGGUGGGUGGAGGAGAUGGUUAGAAAUUUUUUUUUUUUUUUUUUAAACAGUGUUACAGUAUAGGAAGUAAUUUUCGUGAACAGUAUAAAAACCAAGAAAGUAAGGAUUUUUUAUUUUCUCUUUUCUUUCUAAAAUUAGAAAGUAUUUUUUUAAAGUUUUAAAAGUGAAAGUAUUUUAUUAAACAAGAUUUUUAUUUUUGAUUCUCAAUUUUAAGAAUUGAAAGUAGAAAUCAUGAAUUAUUUAUGUUACACAGGCCCAACAAGUCAAUUCCACCAAUAUUAUCUUAUAUAUCUUAUCUAGUUUGUCCUCUGGUCAUCUCCUCAUAUCUUCCAUUCCAUGGGUAAUCCUUUACAAUCAGAGUUCAUGGCGGAAAAAAAUUCACCGGUCAUCCCACUUAUAGCUGCAACAGUUGCCGGAAUCCGGUUGCCCUCCAUGACGACCUUAAUUCUAAAAAAUUUUGGGUGAUUAAACAUUUCUGAUCCUCUAGAUCUCUCCCUCUACAUAUAUAUAUACACACACACACACACUACAUACGUGUGUGAUCUGAUAGCCUGAUGCAUUAGUUGAAACUUGGGGUUUGUUGAUUCAACUUUAUAUAAUUAGUUCAUGUUAUAUUAAUCAUCAGUCCAUUAAUUGAGUUGAUUUUAGUAACAAGGACUUUUUGUGGAAAUGAAGUAAUUUGAUCCAUUAUAGAAUAUGAGUUGCAAGACUGUCUUGUAAAGUCAAGGUCACUGAAUUGGCUCUUUCCCCUUAGCCAAACAAAGACUAACACGGUGGAGUCGAGGCCAAGGACCUUCUCUGGAAAAGGAGGUACAUUUUGCACACCCACUAAUCAUUAAUUGAGUAUUAGUUUGUGGAGGGAUAAUGAUCUUUUUAGAAAAGGAGAGGUCCUGCACAACUACUAAGUAUUGGAUUGGAUACCCCCACUAAUAAUGAUGCCAUAUCAAUGGUUGGUGAGUGUGCAGACCCUCUCCAAGAAUGGAGAGGAUCCUUAUCCGGAGUCGAGAUAGUCUCUCUACUCAGCUCGAGUCGAUUCGGUCGGUUUCUGAAUUUUUUUAUUUUUUUAUAAUUAUUAGUUUAUGGACACCAAAACCCUUCUAAUCAUCGUCGUCCGAGUUUAUGACUCUCCCCUUGAAACUCCUUAAGCAACUAUGUGAGUUCGAAAAGUUUCUCUUUUUCAGGCUAAAAAGUAAUCCUACAAGUUUAUACCUAGAGACAUUCUUGUAAAUAUGGAGUAUUAGUUUGUCUAAGAAAUAUAUAUAUAUAAAACAUGAAUUAUAAAAAUUUAACAUAUAUGUAUCCCCACUGCACUAAUUCUUUAGUAUAUAAGGGCCCUUAAUUACCAAGGAUUUUGCUUGCACAUUGCCUCAUUUUGUAAUGUAAAUUACAUUUAUUUUGAAAGUUGAACGCUCCCUCUUUCAUUUUGUGAGAUUGUAUUGACAAUAUUGUGCUACAACUCUUGAUGGUAGCUCAAUGAGAGCAUCUUGGAUUGGAGAAGAUAUUUGGUGAGCUCGGCAUACUAUGUUAUUAAUUGCUACAGGUCUCAACACUUGAAAAAAAACUACUUUGCAUAAACUCAUUUGUCAAUUUUUCAUUAGCUGAAAAAAAACUACUCUGCAGAAACUCAUUUGUCAAUUUUUCAUUAGCUGAA